rnacentral:rRNA from 1 species
UAAGGAAUAUUGGUCAAUGGACGAAAGUCUGAACCAGCCAUGCCGCGUGGAGGAUGAAGGUCCUCUGGAUUGUAAACUUCUUUUAUUUGGGACGAAAAAAGGGAAUUCUUUCCCGUCUGACGGUACCAGAUGAAUAAGCACCGGCUAACUCCGUGCCAGCAGCCGCGGUAAUACGGAGGGUGCAAGCGUUAUCCGGAUUCACUGGGUUUAAAGGGUGCGUAGGCGGUAGGUAAGUCAGUGGUGAAAUCUUUGAGCUUAACUCGAAAACUGCCAUUGAUACUAUUUAUCUUGAAUAUUGUGGAGGUAAGCGGAAUAUGUCAUGUAGCGGUGAAAUGCUUAGAUAUGACAUAGAACACCCAUUGCGAAGGCAGCUUACUACGCAUAUAUUGACGCUGAGGCACGAAAGCGUGGGGAUCAAACAGGAUUAGAUACCCUGGUAGUCCACGCCCUAAACGAUGAUUACUCGACAUACGCGAUACACAGUGUGUGUCUGAGCGAAAGC